AUCGCUUCUCGGCUCUUUUGAGCUAAGAUCAAGUGUAGUAUCUGUUCUUCUCAGUUUAAUACACCUGGGACGGAAACGAUUCGUUUCCUCUAUGUAUUAAUCGGAUUUUUGAACUUGGAGUAUGGUGCUGGAGCUUGCUCCACCCUGCUCACGGGUUGUCCUGGUAUUGCAGUACCUCCAGGUUCGGCUCACGUUUC
rnacentral:snRNA from 1 species